CCUCUUCCUCUCUCUAGUGUUAGUAUUGGUGGAGCCAUUAAAUGUGAAAAACAAGUAAUAAAGUUUGGCGGUAAAGCAUGGUGUUAGGAUUUUAUUAGAAGGAGAGAGAGAGCUACAAGGGGUGGUGAACCUUGGGAGCCAAGCCCUUCAGUUUCCAAAACCAGCAACUUGCGUGUCAGCAUGCCCCACUGGAAUAAGAGAAUUCACUGAACCCAACCCUUCUCUCUCUCUCUAUUUCUGUAUGAAUCUUUAAGAAUUAAAUAGUAAUAUUGUACAAAUACAGUGCAAGAAAUCAAAAUGCCUUCAAAAUUCCACUUGUUCCGUUGAACUUGUACCUUCUGCUUUCUUUCUUCAUUCCUUCUGUUCUUUUUCUCUUUGUUUCUUUUCAUCCCUUUGAAUUAAGAGAGAUCUGAAUAAGAGCAAAGAAUUUGACAAAAAAAAUAUAAGAGCAAAGUAUUUAUUUGAUGCAAAAAGUGUAUGAUUGUGCGUUCCCUCUUUGUUUUUGCCUUAUUUUGAACCACCUCUUCCACCAUAAAAAGCUAGAUCAUCUUUAUCACCUUUCAUCAAAGUUGGGUACUUGAGGACGAAGUUUCUUGACACUGAAAUUGAAGGCAGCUGGAUUUUCUUGAAAGAGGCUUAGAGAUAUGACAGGAUUUUGAAAUAAAUAUAGAGAAUCGUCACAGGAGUUCUACUUUGCUGUUGUUAGUGGAAUUUCGAAUCUCAUCUAUGUUUCUGGUAAAUUUGGGUUUGAAUCUGGUUCACAUUUGUUGCAAUUGAAGCCCCAAUUGUCCACACUGUUAUCUGACUAGAAAUAUCUGGAAUUGCAAUCUUUCUUCAAGAAUUGAUAGCUCCUGCUUAACUGCAAACCACAUUUCACAAUCUGGGUUGAACUUCAAUAGUUGUGAUUGGAAUCCAACAGAGAGAAUCUUUUGGCUAAGCGUCAAUGGUUGUCUAUUGAUCAAUUUCAAGAAAUCAGAUACAGAGAUCUGUGGCAUUGUGGAAUUUUGUACUUGGAAAGAAAUUGAUCUCAUCUGGGUUGCAGUGAUUUGGUGACUAAAACAAGUAUUAAAUGAAUUUUGAACAUCCAGAAUCAGAAACAAGACUUUCAAGAAGUAUAAUCAAUCUGCAAGAUCAUUGUUCUGGCAACAUAAUGGAUGGAAGAUCAAGAAAAAUGACUUUCACAGCCCAAACUACUGCACCUCUUCCUAGAGUAGAGAAAAAGAGGAUGGAAUAUCAAAGAUCAUUGUCCCAGGGCAGUGGUAGGAGGUUGUUUCCUGCAAGCUAUUUCAGCUUGGAAUCACUGCUGCUGCUAAUAUGUCUAACAGCAUCUCUGUUGAUCCUUCCUUUGAUACUUCCACCAUUACCUCCACCACCUUUUUCUUUGCUUCUGCUUCCUAUAGGUAUCUUAGCAGUGCUAAUGGUCUUGGCUUUCAUGCCAACCAAUCCAAGGGAUAUAGCCUAUACGUAAGUGUAAAUGUGUUCCAAAAGAACUGCACCUGUUUUUUCUCUUUACAUGCAAAUUUUUUAUUUCUUCUUCAACGUGUUGAAAAGAAAAGAAUAUAACAGUUCUUUUAUUUCUUAA